CUUCGGGUUGUAAAGCACUUUUAUCGGGAGCGAAAUACCAUUGGCUAAUAACCGAUGGGGCUGACGGUACCCGAGGAAUAAGCACCGGCUAACUUCGUGCCAGCAGCCGCGGUAAUACGAAGGGUGCAAGCGUUAAUCGGAAUUACUGGGCGUAAAGGGUGCGUAGGCGGUUAGUUAAGUCUGUUGUGAAAUCCCCGGGCUCAACCUGGGAAUGGCAAUGGAUACUGGCUAGCUAGAGUGUGUCAGAGGAUGGUGGAAUUUCCGGUGUAGCGGUGAAACGCGUAGAGAUCGGAAGGAACAUCAGUGGCGAAGGCGGCCAUCUGGGACAACACUGACGCUGAAGCACGAAAGCGUGGGGAGCAAACAGGAUUAGAUACCCUGGUAGUCCACGCCCUAAACGAUGCGAACUGGAUGUUGGUCUCAACUCGGAGAUCAGUGUCGAAGCUAACGCGUUAAGUUCGCCGCCUGGGGAGUACGGUCGCAAGACUGAAACUCAAAGGAAUUGACGGAAUCACUA
rnacentral:rRNA from 1 species